AGUGAACGCUGGCGGUAGGCCUAACACAUGCAAGUCGAACGGCAGCACAGGAGAGCUUGCUCUCUGGGUGGCGAGUGGCGGACGGGUGAGGAAUACAUCGGAAUCUACUCUGUCGUGGGGGAUAACGUAGGGAAACUUACGCUAAUACCGCAUACGACCUACGGGUGAAAGCAGGGGAUCUUCGGACCUUGCGCGAUUGAAUGAGCCGAUGUCGGAGUAGCUAGUUGGCGGGGUAAAGGCCCACCAAGGCGACGAUCCGUAGCUGGUCUGAGAGGAUGAUCAGCCACACUGGAACUGAGACACGGUCCAGACUUCUACGGGAGGCAGCAGUGGGGAAUAUUGGACAAUGGGCGCAAGCCUGAUCAGCCAUACCGCGUGGGUGAAGAAGGCCUUCGGGUUGUAAAGCCCUUUUGUUGGGAAAGAAAUCCAGCUGGUUAAUACCCGGUUGGGAUGACGGUACCCAAAGAAUAAGCACCGGCUAACUUCGUGCCAGCCGCCGCGGUAA
rnacentral:rRNA from 1 species